UAGGCCCUAUAGCUACAUGAUAUCUCCACUGGGAGCCCUGUCCUUUCCAUGCCCUGGGAAAACCCGAUCUAAAGCAGAUUUAAAUGACUCAGCAGUAGGACUCAGGUCUCUGUCUCUGCCUGCUUACUUGGGGAGUGCUCCAGCCUUAGGGGCUCUCUUGCACUCCAACAUAGGAAAGAAAUUAUCGAUGGCUCCAUUCCCCAGCAUUUGAGACUUUUCUUCCCACAGACACAUUCCUGAGGACACCAGUCAUGGGUAAAGAACUCCACUGGGGUCAGCGUUGGAUCCCACUAGGCAGUUUAGGACUUGUAAGUAGAGUAGUGUGGACUUGGUGUUCCCAGAGCCUCUCACUCAUGAUUCAUGGCUCUCCACCCCAAGCAUCGGAACUUGCCCAACUUCACCACAGAAGGAAACAGACUGUAAGCUUGGAGGGCCAGGGAGGAAACCGGAGGCAUGUGUGGGAGGAUUAGAAACAUGAAAAGAUAUUUACAGUAAGGUUCGCUUGUCAUCCUCUUGAACUGGGGGUGCAUAGAGUACAAUAAGACCCCAUGUGAGUAUGUUAGAUGAUAAGGCUCAGGUUGGAUGGGUGUGUAGAGUAAAGGCUUUGCAUCACCUUUGCCAGGGUGAGGGAAGGCUAUGGAUAGCACAGGGGACCUUGAUGAUCGGGUGAGGGAGCCCAUGUGGACAUAGUGGUCACCAGCUACUUCCUAGUUCUCUACAUGGGAGAAAGAGCCCUUCUCUGUAAUCAUGGAAGCUCAAGUUCUUGGUGGUUCAGAGGUUAGAGACCUCUGAUUACUAGGACAGAGCAGAAUAGCAGGGCUGGUCCUGGUAGAUCAGACAUCUCAUGACAUCCUUUAAAAGGGACUAGAAUAUUCAGAACUCCGGUGUAACUAAAUGAUCCUCAAGCUUUACCAGCAGGUGAGCAAGGUCCCAUUGUAUUUGGUACUCACAUCCCCACCAAUUCUGUAAAAGUUUGCCAACUUUCCCCUCCAUCCCCUGCACCCUUUCACCAAAAGAUAUGCCUAAGAGUUCCCAAGAGACGUCUAACAUAGGCCUGCAUGUCAGCCCAGUCUUCUGGGCUGAGCUGCUGCACUGUUGCUGGCCUUGAUGGCUGAACCUGAUCUCUGUUGUGGCACCCACCACUCUUUCUCAAGCCUUGACACCUUGGCAGGCUUUGGCAAAAAGAGGAGAGCUGUUCUUCCUCGGCAUUAUGUUCACUUAGCAGGGUCCCACAGCAGGAUUGCUUGGACCCCAGAGUAUUGUAGGGCUUAAUAAGACCAGCCCUUUCAUCUCACACGCUCUAUCCUUUCUCUCACUGGUGCACCCACGUCAGGUGUCUUGAGUGGGGAGUGCUCGAAUAUCUGCCACCAGCUUGAGUCAGAACCUCGACUUCCCUCAGCUUUUCAGGGUCUGUUACUGAGUCUGGUCCACACUCCAGGGUCUUUUCCUCACGGUCUGGGUCUGGUCUUUUUCAGGUGCCUACCUUUCCUCCCUGCAAACUGCCUUGAGUUGCCUCCCCUUCUCCCUUCCUUCCUGGUCUGUCAGAGACAUCUUGUCUGGGUGCAUAUUUGAACCCCAUCAGUAGACAGAAAACAUGUAUUUCCUUGAAGGCCCCUCAGACCCCAGGUACAAACAUUGAAGUAAAUAACAGCAGGGAUGGGGGUUCUGCCUCGCUUCACCUGCCAGCCACGUGCAGACCUUGUUUCAGUCCAACUGAGACUUUAGCAAGUGCUUCAUUCUGGUUUGUGAAUGGCUUCCCAGUGUCUGUCACUGUGUUCACAGGGCCACCGGGGUUGGCUGAGUCAGAAUACCAGCCAUGUGGCAUGUCGCAUGGGGCAAGAGCUGUGCUGCCCAUGGGAGUCCAGAGAAGGAGCACACUAAGGACCAACACCAGCUCUGCAGAUGAGCAAUAUCAUCACAACUAACCAAUUGAUCAAUUAUUCAUUCAGUCAUUUAAUGAGAAGCUACUGUGUACCCAUCCUUUCCUUGGCCUUCUGGACAGUUAGACAUGGUGCCUGUCUUCAGAUUGCUCACACACCAGUUGGAGACACAAAAGUUACAUGCAACUCCUCUCCAUUGGAUCUCUAGCACCUAGAAUAGAGCUGGGUACACAUGAUGAGGUGCUUAAUACGUAUUUGUCAAAUUGAAUGUCAAGUUUUAGGAGUUUAAAGAGUGUUUUCAAAUGGGGAGAAGCCGAGACACAAAUAGUCUCAGGAAUGAGAUGAAAUUAUUUAACCAAUUGGAGAUGAAAUUCGAAAUGGAAACUAUGACAUGACUCAACAUCCUCAAGCCCUGAAGUAAUAAUUAGCACAUAAAGUUGGUCUGUUAUGGACUUUGUGUUGUGCUCCCUGCAAAAUUGGAUACAGAGAGAAGACAGCUGUCUGCAAACCAGAAAGAGAGUCCUCACUGCACUUCAUAUCUGCCAAUGGAUCCUUGCUCUUGAACCUCCCAACCUGCAGAAUCAUGAGAAACAAACAUUGUCAUUUGCUCUAGGGGAAGCCUGCAGCUAUGUCAUGAGGACCCUCAACAGCCCUGUGCAGAGGACUAUGUGGCAUGAAAGAUACCUUCUGCCAACAACCAGCCCCAACUUGCCAAGCAUGUGAACAAGCUAAACUGAAAGCAGAUCUUCAGCCCCAAUCAAGCCUUCAGAUGACAGUAACCUCAGCCAAUAUACUGACUAUAACCUCAUAAAAGACCCUGAACCAGAACCCUCUAAGCCACUCUCAAACUCUACCCCACAUAAACUGUGAAAUAAUAUAUGUUUAUUGUUAUUUUGGGCCACUAAGUUUAGGGGUAAUUUGUUAUGCAGCAAUUAUAUAACCAAUAUUCCAACUAAAGCUGAAAUGCCUCCUGCAUUUCCUCCCUCAGUGGCCUACACUACAAUCCAAGUUCAGGAAAAAACGAGAACCUUAUUUAAGGUAGUGGCAAGAAAUGAAUGGAUUAACUGGACAUUUAAAAAGUAUUUGAUAGAACUUGGUGAUAGGAGGUGGGGCAGUUAGGGACUAGCAGGAAUUUAGGAUGAGAGGCUCAUUCAGUUGGGCUUAUGUUUUACUGAGGUCAAUUCCAAAAGGAAGGAAAGAAAAAUCCAGCCAAAUAACCUUUAAUGGACUAAGUCUUCUUUCAUAAGUCAGUUUGCACAACUUCUUCACAGGAAUCAGAUUUUAAAUAUCAUAACUGAAGAGAAAAAAAACAGCAAGAGGAGUUUACCUUUAUGGUGGAAUGACACUAAUCUUUCAUGCUUUCAAAUUUCUUGAAAUUUCCUUCGUAUGCAUUAUCUUAUUUGCUGUUCACAGUAAAACUGUGUAUUGGCUAAGCCAGUUUUUAUGAAAAUAUAAGCAGUGAGAAAAAGUAAGAUAGUAUGUCAGUUAGUAGAUUUUUUUAUGGACAUUGUGACAGAGGACACAACUUAAACUGGCUUUUUUUUUUUUUUUUUUUUUUUUGAGACAGAGUUUUGCUCUUGUUGCCCAGGCUGGAGUGCAAUGGCACGAUCUCGGCUCACUGCAACCUCCGCCCCCUGGGUUCAAGUGAUUCUCCUGCCUCAGCCUCCCGAGUAGCUGGAAACACAGGUGCCUGCCACCGCGUCCGGCUAAUUUUUUGUAUUUUUAGUAGAGAUGGAGUUUCACCAUGUUGGCCAGGCUAGUCUCAAACUCCUGACCUCAGGUGAUCCACCUGCCUCAGCCUCCCAAACUGCUGGGAUUACAGGUGUGAGCCACCGCACCUGGCAAAAGGGUUUUGUUUCUAAAGGUACAAGAACAGGUACAGCUUCGGGUCAGUGUGAUUCAGCCCUCAACAAAGCCACCAGGAUCCAUUUCUUGGCUCUGCUUCAUUGCUUCUCAUAGGCUGGCUCAUUCUCAGACUGUACGUGAUAUGGUUCAGUGGCUUUAGGCUCCAAGCAUGACAACACCCAACACUCAGAUUGAUGGAGCUAGAGCAAGUCUCUUCAGGCAGCGUCUAGGAAAGUUCUGAAAUUCACUCUGAUUGGCUGCCCAUCUCUGAAUCAACCACGUAACCCAAGGAAAUAGGAACUGCUGAUGGGUCAGGGUCGGUUCACAUGCUUCAUACCUGGAGCUGAGAAGACAUCAACUCCAUCCUGGAGCUCAUGGGCUGUGACUAGAGCAGACGGAGUUCUCAGAGGAAAGUCAGAGUACAGUUAUCAAAGCAAGCAGUUACAGAUGCUAGAUGACCAAAAUCCAAUAACUGCCCAGUAAAAAUAUUAUACUAAAAUCUAGGAACAUGUGGCUGAUGGACAGUCAUUACCAGGAAAAAAAAGUUGUUAGGUCUAAAUGUAAAAAUUGAGGCAAAGAAAGUGCCCGAGCUAGAAUUAGAACCCUGACUACCUGAAUAUUAGAUCGGUUAGUGCCACUUCUACCCUACCGCUGCUGAGGGGGGAGGUGAACAGUCUCUCAGGUUGCAGACAGUGGAUGGUUUCCCUCCCUCUAUCUUCUCAUUUCAUGGUGGAGCUGAAUCAUCCUAUGUUCUACAUGCUGACAGUGGAAGGUUAUGACCAUACCCAUAUCCUGUUGUCUCUGAGUCUCCUGUGGUGCAGAGAUCCCUGAGACUUGUAGAACAGAACCUGAGUGGAAAGUGGGAGGGGGAUUGGGGGUGGUUCCCACGAAUCAAGCAGCAACCUGGAGACAAGGAACACCUGCAACCUCAGCAGUGGAUCAGAACGGCUGACUGAGCAAUGGACAUACUGUGCAUCUUUCAUUAGUGCUGAGACCAACUUCUAGCUUGGAGUCCCAUGAAAGGGAAACUUAGCCCUAACACCACAACAAGGAGCACAGUGUCAAGUGGGGACAUUGCAGCAGAGUUGCCGCAAAGACUCUGAAGUGCUAUGGGAAGGGAUAUUUCCUAGGAGGGGUUAAAGGGAUUCUCCUUAAGAAGGGGGCUGGGGGAAUCUGAGUAAGAGGUGGGGGAAAGCAGCCAAAGCAUGAUACUUAGUCAUAGCAUCACAAGAAUUUGACUCAGAGUUCCUACAAGGUUGUCCUAAAAUGCCCUGGUUCAGGUGGGUCAGCUUUGAAAGCACCCAAAUUACCCCGUUUUCUGUACUAUGUUUAAAGGCAAUUUGAAAGAAAGACCCCUAAUUUGGAAACAUGUGCUAAGGCUAAAUCACUUUUUCAACUGAAAAUUCUUUUUUAUGUAUUGUUACACUCCAUUUUCUGUCUUGUGUUUUUUGUUGUUG
rnacentral:lncRNA from 10 species